rnacentral:rRNA from 1 species
AUGACAUGGCUUGUAUAUAUUACCAGGAGGAGACUGGCAGUGGACUUGAAUCGUCGUCGUAACCAGGAUGAGCAGCAGCGCAAAGAUCCAUGCCAGUUUUGCAUGUGCCGAGUAAUAGCUGAUCGCCAUGGUUCUAUCCGGUUCGUGCAAUUUUUGGAAGCAAGAAACUGCAAAUGGCUUGUGAAUUUAUAUAGCAGAGAAGACAACAAACACGGUAAACCUUGUGGCGAUAGAAAUGGAUGCAACUUGCAUUCAUCUUAUAAGAAAAGAAACUCCAACUUGGCAUGGAGGAUAGGCCGCACGCCAAAUGUCGCGGUGCUCUGCAGUCUUCCGUAUGCGGCCAACGAACCGCUCGUCAGCGUGAUAGCCAAGUCCCAACCCGGGCACAAUUGUUUGGCUUGGGCGGGCGAAUCGUGCUUGCGGAUCGCCCAUAUCUAA